AUUGAACGCUGGCGGCAUGCUUUACACAUGCAAGUCGAACGGUAACAGGGUGCUUGCACCGCUGACGAGUGGCGAACGGGUGAGUAAUACAUCGGAAUGUACCCAGUAAUGGGGGAUAACGCUUCGAAAGGAGUGCUAAUACCGCAUACGCCCUGAGGGGGAAAGUGGGGGACCGCAAGGCCUCACGUUAUUGGAGCAGCCGAUGGCUGAUUAGCUAGUUGGUGAGGUAAAGGCUCACCAAGGCGACGAUCAGUAGCGGGUCUUAGAGGACGAUCCGCCACACUGGAACUGAGACACGGCCCAGACUCCUACGGGAGGCAGCAGUGGGGAAUUUUGGACAAUGGGCGCAAGCCUGAUCCAGCCAUGCCGCGUGCAGGAUGAAGGCCUUCGGGUUGUAAACUGCUUUUGUACGGAACGAAAAGACUCUGGUUAAUACCUGGGGUCCAUGACGGUACCGUAAGAAUAAGCACCGGCUAACUACGUGCCAGCCGCCGCGGUAAUAC
rnacentral:rRNA from 1 species